rnacentral:rRNA from 1 species
CACGAACGCUGGCGGCAGGCUUAACACAUGCAAGUCGAGCGCACCGCAAGGGGAGCGGCAGACGGGGGAGUAACGCGUGGGAAUCUACCCAUCUCUACGGAAUAACGCAUGGAAACGUGUGCUAAUACGGUAUACGUCCUUCGGGAGAAAGAGUUAUCGGAGAUGGAUGAGCCCGCGUUGGAUUAGCUAGUUGGUGGGGUAAAGGCCUACCAAGGCGACGAUCAAUAGCUGGUCUGAGAGGAUGAUCAGCCACACUGGGACUGAGACACGGCCCAGACUCCUACGGGAGGCAGCAGUGAGGAAUAUUGCACAAUGGGCGCAAGACUGAUCCAGCCAUGCCGCGUGAGUGAUGAAGGCCCUAGGGUUGUAAAGCGCUUUCACAGGGGAAGAUAAUGACGGUAACCGGAGAAGAAGGCCCGGCUAACUUCGUGCCAGCCGCCGCGGUAAAAC